CUCUUAAACCCUUUCUGCUUAUUCAGAAUAAAGGUCACAAGUGUCAGAAAAUACUUCUCUGGGUUUGUGGCACAUAAUAAGAAAUAUCCAAACUCAGGUAAGGGAAGAAUAGCGUAGUGGUGAAAAUAGAUAACGAAGAAAAAAAAUUCACUGUGGAAUUGUUUUUCAGAUUCUAAAACUGCAUCCUUCCCAGAGUGGGUAGUCAACUCCUCAUGAUGAAUUAGUUAUAUGUUCCUAUAUGUACCUACUUCCAGGUAAGUGUUGCCCAUUCCCUCUGUGGGGUUGUAUGAAAGACUGCUCAGACAAAUAAUCCUUAAAAUAGCAAGCAGAGUGAGAUCAUUGAACA
rnacentral:lncRNA from 1 species